AAUAACAACUAUGGCAUUUUUCACUUGGUCCCUUCAAGAUGUCCCAAAGGUAACGGUCAACGACGUGAGUCGAAUCAUACAAAAGUUAUGUCACACUUCGACAACCAAGAAAGAGAAGGGCUUCAAAUUGUAUGUGUCAAGCUACAUCCACAAUUUUGAAGAUUGUGCUUGGGGAUGCCCGUCCUGUGCAGCUACUUUUGGCAAAUCCAGGGCCAGAUGUUGAUUUCUGGUUUAGACUGGUGUGACUUUGUUGUCUACACACAGGAGGACAUUUUAUUCAGAGGAUUCCCAGAGACAAUGAAAUCACCAAAACAAUGAAAGUAAAAAUUGAUUUUUUUUUAUUUUUAUUGUUACCUCUUUGCUUCCCUAAAUAAUUAGAUUCUGAUUGCCUGUCACACUUCUUUAUAGAGUGCUGUUAAUUUCUCUUUUCUCCAUUUCUCUUACUGGCAGUAACUCUUAUUAGUUUAAUCCAUUUCAAAAUAUUUGUACAUAUAUAUUGAUUCAAGUUUUUAUAUUUUUUCUUAAUUGUAUUACUAUGUUUCUUGUUGUAUUAAUACUAAUCUAUUAUUAAAUUACAUGUUACAUGUUC